UACGUAGGUGGCAAGCGUUGUCCGGAUUUAUUGGGUUUAAAGGGUGCGUAGGCGGUCUAUUAAGUCAGUUGUGAAAUACGGCAGCUCAACUGUCGAGGUGCAAUUGAUACUGAUGGACUUGAGUACAGAUGAGGUAGGCGGAAUUGACGGUGUAGCGGUGAAAUGCUUAGAUAUCGUCAAGAACACCUAUAGCGAAGGUAGCUUACUAGGCUGUAACUGACGCUGAGGCACGAAAGUGUGGGGAUCAAACAGG
rnacentral:rRNA from 1 species